UACGAAGGGGGCUAGCGUUGCUCGGAAUCACUGGGCGUAAAGCGCACGUAGGCGGCUUUUUAAGUCAGGGGUGAAAUCCUGGAGCUCAACUCCAGAACUGCCUUUGAUACUGAGAGCUUGAGUCCGGGAGAGGUGAGUGGAACUGCGAGUGUAGAGGUGAAAUUCGUAGAUAUUCGCAAGAACACCAGUGGCGAAGGCGGCUCACUGGCCCGGUACUGACGCUGAGGCACGAAAGCGUGGGGGAGCGAACAGG
rnacentral:rRNA from 1 species